rnacentral:rRNA from 1 species
GGGGUUACUGAGAGAAGGUCCCCACGACUUGGAACUGAGACACGGUCCAAACUCCUACGGAGGCAGCAGUGAGGAAGUAUUGGUCAAUGGGCGAGAGCCUGAACCAGCCAAGUAGCGUGAAGGAUGAAGGUUCUAUGGAUUGUAAACUUCUUUUAUAAGGGAAGAAGCGAAAGUGACGGUACCUGCAGAAGAAGCACCGGCUAACUACGUGCCAGCAGCCGCGGUAAUACGUAGGGUGCGAGCGUUAUCCGGAAUUAUUGGGCGUAAAGAGCUCGUAGGCGGUUUGUCGCGUCUGUCGUGAAAGUCCGGGGCUUAACCCCGGAUCUGCGGUGGGUACGGGCAGACUAGAGUGCAGUAGGGGAGACUGGCAUUCCUGGUGUAGCGGUGGAAUGCGCAGAUAUCAGGAGGAACACCGAUGGCGAAGGCAGGUCUCUGGGCUGUAACUGACGCUGAGGAGCGAAAGCAUGGGGAGCGGACAGCAUUAGAUACCCUGGUAGUCCAUGCCGUAAACGUUGGGCACUAGGUGUGGGGACCAUUCCACGGUU